AUUGAACGCUGGCGGCAGGCCUAACACAUGCAAGUCGAACGGUAACAGGAAGAAGCUUGCUUCUUUGCUGACGAGUGGCGGACGGGUGAGUAAUGUCUGGGAAACUGCCUGAUGGAGGGGGAUAACUACUGGAAACGGUAGCUAAUACCGCAUAACGUCGCAAGACCAAAAAGGGGGACCUUCGGGCCUCUUGCCAUCGGAUGUGCCCAGAUGGGAUUAGCUAGUAGGUGGGGUAACGGCUCACCUAGGCGACGAUCCCUAGCUGGUCUGAGAGGAUGACCAGCCACACUGGAACUGAGACACGGUCCAGACUCCUACGGGAGGCAGCAGUGGGGAAUAUUGCACAAUGGGCGCAAGCCUGAUGCAGCCAUGCCGCGUGUAUGAAGAAGGCCUUCGGGUUGUAAAGUACUUUCAGCGGGGAGGAAGGGAGUAAAGUUAAUACCUUUGCUCAUUGACGUACCCGCAGAAGAAGCACCG
rnacentral:rRNA from 1 species